UGGUGGUCCAGGGUUCUAUAAGAAAGCAGUUGAGUAAGCCAUUAGGAGAAAGCCAGUAAGCAGCACCCUCUGUGGCCUCUGCAUCAGCUCCUGCUCCCAGGUUCCUGCCCUGUUUGAGUUCCUGUCCUGACUUUCAGUGAUGAACAGUGAUAUGGAAGUAUAAGCCAAAUAAAUCCUUUCUUCCCCAAGUCGCUUUGGUCAUGGUGUGUGGGAUGAUGUCACAGGUGAGGAAGGCACAAGAUAGAAUGAGGCCUGCCAUUGGACGAGAAGGAAGGAUGGGUGGGAGAAAGGUUUGAAGGAAGAGGAGGAGACAGGAAUGGAAGAGAGGAGUCAGCUGAGAAGCCGCUGGGAGAGAACAUGGAGGCUGACGUUAAGAUCCCACGCUGUACCUUUACAGAGUGGAUGACUCCAGCCCCAGAUACCAAGAGAUGCAUAACAUGAAGGUGUGGCAGUAAAUACUGAAUAACGGACGCUGGACACCAUACACCACGCCACGCUACCUCCUGCUACUCCCUGGGCUGUGCAGCGAUCUUGCCACCAUGGCUAGCCCCAUGUUGAUGCCGGCUACUUUCUGGCCCCAGCAGCAGCAUCUGUCUAUUUCACAGCCCUCUGUUGUGGACUCCACUCACAUUCCUAGCAUCCCAGUAAAAUCAAAACUCUAGAA